UACGAAGGGGGGCUAGCGUUGCUCGGAUUGACUGGGCGUAAAGGGCGCGUAGGCGGUUCGUACAGUCAGACGUGAAAUUCCUGGGCUCAACCUGGGGGCUGCGUUUGAUACGUGCGGACUUGAGUGCGGAAGAGGGUCGUGGAAUUCCCAGUGUAGAGGUGAAAUUCGUAGAUAUUGGGAAGAACACCGGUGGCGAAGGCGGCGACCUGGUCCGAUACUGACGCUGAGGCGCGAAAGCGUGGGGAGCGAACGGG
rnacentral:rRNA from 1 species